GACGAACGCUGGCGGCGUGCCUAAUACAUGCAAGUCGAGCGAAUCAAUGGGAGCUUGCUCCCUGAGAUUAGCGGCGGACGGGUGAGUAACACGUGGGUAACCUGCCUGUAAGACUGGGAUAACUUCGGGAAACCGGAGCUAAUACCGGAUACGUUCUUUUCUCGCAUGAGAAGAGAUGGAAAGAUGGUUUCGGCUAUCACUUACAGAUGGACGCGCGGCGCAUUAGCUAGUUGGUGAGGUAACGGCUCACCAAGGCGACGAUGCGUAGCCGACCUGAGAGGGUGAUCGGCCACACUGGGACUGAGACACGGCCCAGACUCCUACGGGAGGCAGCAGUAGGGAAUCUUCCGCAAUGGACGAAAGUCUGACGGAGCAACGCCGCGUGAGCGAAGAAGGCCUUCGGGUCGUAAAGCUCUGUUGUUAGGGAAGAACAAGUGCCAGAGUAACUGCUGGCACCUUGACGGUACCUGACCAGAAAGCCACGGCUGACUACGUGCCAGCAGCCGCCGCCGUAA
rnacentral:rRNA from 1 species